rnacentral:sRNA from 1 species
CUCUGAAAUAGACACUUCUGGUGGCAUUGUUUUUUCUAAAAAUAGGGUUUUAUGGUAUUCUGUAGGUUCCUGGUGAGCCAGGGUUCCAGGGAAAAGCUGAGAAAGGAUUAGGAUGGUGGUGAUGGUGCAGGCUUUGGCUGCUACAGGAAGCGGAGGAGACAGAAUCCCAGCCCUGACCUUCCUUCUCCUUAAAGAUGCAUAGACUUCCUGGAAGGUUCACAUGGCCUUUCUCAAGUAGCCGGUCCUCUUUAGGGGAGACCUGCCAUCUUCAAGCCGCAUCAUGUUGCCUUUCAGGGCAAGCCUUGGCCAGCUUGCAGCGUUGCUGUUUCUUUUGCAGGGCGGGGAGGCAGGGGCUGGUGUCACCAGUGGGGUCUUGGUGAAGUUCCUCCUUCCUCCAGGCAGAUGGCUCGGUGAGCUGCAAGAGGACAGACUGUGUGGACUCCUGCCCUCACCCGAUCCGGAUCCCUGGACAAUGCUGCCCAGACUGUUCAGCAGGCUGCACCUACACAGGCAGAAUCUUCUAUAACAACGAGACCUUCCCGUCUGUGCUGGACCCAUGUCUGAGCUGCAUCUGCCUGCUGGGCUCAGUGGCCUGUUCCCCCGUGGACUGCCCCAUCACCUGUACCUACCCUUUCCACCCUGACGGAGAGUGCUGCCCCGUGUGCCGAGACUGCAACUACGAGGGAAGGAAGGUGGCGAAUGGCCAGGUGUUCACCUUGGAUGAUGAACCCUGCACCCGGUGCACGUGCCAGCUGGGAGAGGUGAGCUGUGAGAAGGUUCCCUGCCAGCGGGCCUGUGCCGACCCUGCCCUGAUUCCUGGGGACUGCUGCUCUUCCUGUCCAGAUUCCCUGUCUCCUCUGGAAGAAAAGCAGGGGCUCUCCCCUCACGGAAAUGUGGCAUUCAGCAAAGCUGGUCGGAGCCUGCAUGGAGACACUGAGGCCCCUGUCAACUGUAGCUCCUGUCCUGGGCCCUCGACAGCAUCACCCUCGAGGCCGGUGCUUCAUCUCCUCCAGCUCCUUUUAAGAAUGAACUUGAUGAAAACACAGACUUUACCUACAAGCCCGGCAGGAGCUCA